rnacentral:rRNA from 1 species
UGGGGAAUAUUGCACAAUGGGCGAAAGCCUGAUGCAGCGACGCCGCGUGAGUGAAGAAGUAUUUCGGUAUGUAAAGCUCUAUCAGCAGGGAAGAAAAUGACGGUACCUGACUAAGAAGCCCCGGCUAACUACGUGCCAGCAGCCGCGGUAAUACGUAGGGGGCAAGCGUUAUCCGGAUUUACUGGGUGUAAAGGGAGCGUAGACGGCGAAGCAAGUCUGAAGUGAAAACCCAGGGCUCAACCCUGGGACUGCUUUGGAAACUGUUUUGCUAGAGUGUCGGAGAGGUAAGUGGAAUUCCUAGUGUAGCGGUGAAAUGCGUAGAUAUUAGGAGGAACACCAGUGGCGAAGGCGGCUUACUGGACGAUAACUGACGUUGAGGUCUACGAAAGCGGUAGGGGAGACAAACGAGGUAAUUAGACUACCCGUGGUA